UCUUAUGAUUGAGCAAAGAAAGUGGUUUCUUGAGAUGGGAUCUGCUUUCUGGUGGAGAUGCUGUGAA
rnacentral:pre_miRNA from 1 species